GACGAACGCUGGCGGCGUGCUUAAUACAUGCAAGUCAACGACUUUUAGAGUAGCAAUAUUCUAAAGGAAGUGGCGCACGGUGAGUAACACGUAGGUAAUCUGCCUUCAGGACUGACACAACUCGUCGAAAGACGGGCUAAUAUCAGAUAAUGCAGCGGCUCCGCAUGGAGACAGUUGUUAAAGUACAAGCGCCUGAAGAUGAGCCUGCGGUCCAUUAGCUAGUUGGUAGAGUAAAGCCUACCAAGGCAACGAUGGAUAGCUGGUCUGAGAGGAUGAUCAGCCACACUGGAACUGAGACACGGUCCAGACUCCUACGGGAGGCAGCAGUAAGGAAUAUUGCUCAAUGGCCGAAAGGCUGAAGCAGCAACGCCGCGUGAAGGAUGAAUGGCCUUUGGCCUGUAAACUUCUGUAAAAAGGAAACAGUCAGGUAUAUCCUGA
rnacentral:rRNA from 1 species